rnacentral:rRNA from 1 species
UGCCAGCCGCCGCGGUAAUACGGAGGGUGCGAGCGUUAAUCGGAAUUACUGGGCGUAAAGCGCAUGCAGGUGGAUGAUUAAGUCAGAUGUGAAAGCCCGGGGCUCAACCUCGGAAUAGCAUUUGAAACUGGUCAUCUAGAGUACUGUAGAGGGGGGUAGAAUUUCAGGUGUAGCGGUGAAAUGCGUAGAUAUCUGGAGGAACAUCGGUGGCGAAAGCGGCCUACUGGCACGAGACUGACGCUGAGGCUCGAAAGCGUGGGGAGCGAACGGGAUUAGAUA